rnacentral:lncRNA from 1 species
CAACAUAAUAGCUCAACUACUACAAUACUAUCCCAAAACUUGGAGACUUACGAGAACAUAAGCUAACAAAAUGUAAUACAAAACUCUAACUCCAAAAUGUCUAAAAUAACAGGACGAAAGGAAAUCUAACUGAUAAAGCUAGAAUAAGAUAGAGAAUCCUGGUCUGCGGAUGUGGCAGAUGUACCUCAAAGUCUCUGAUAGAUCUCUCCACCUCGAUAAUAACAUUCAUGUGUGGAGGUACCUGGAUCUGCACAUAAAAAACAUGCACAGAAGGGGAAAGAGUACACCCCAACGGUACUCAGUAAGUGCCAAUCCUAAUCUCGGUCUGGUAGUGAUGAGGAAGGUCAAGGCCCUACUGAGAAUAAACAUAAUAUUAAAUCUUGCAACAAUAGAAAAUAAACAGGAAUAAUGAGUACAUAUCUGAAGUAAGACAGGUUAUACAAGAUAACAAAUAACACAUAGAAAAUAAGGUAACACGGAGUAAAAAGCUCAAUACCAGUACCAACAAUGAGGAUCUCCCAGGAUACCGUCCGGUAGUCCUUUUCAUCAACUGUCCAAGGAUCUCCCAUAUACCAUCCCGUAGUCUAUCAUAUGUGUCUAUAUGAAGGAUCUUCCGGGAUACCAUCCCGUAGUCCAUCUAUCAAUAUGCAGGGGGAUCUAUCAGGAAUCGAACCUGCAGUCCCAAAGUAAAUAUGCAGGGGAUCUACCGGAAAUCUAACCUGUAGUCCCAAAGUAAAUGUGCAAGGGGAUCUAUCGGGAAUCUAACCCGUAGUCCCAAAGUAAAC